CUUGGUCAUUUAGAGGAAGUAAAAGUCGUAACAAGGUUUCCGUAGGUGAACCUGCGGAAGGAUCAUUAGUGAAUAUAGGACGUCCAACUUAACUUGGAGUCCGAACUCUCACUUUCUAACCCUGUGCACUUGUUUGGGAUAGUAACUCUCGCAAGAGAGCGAACUCCUAUUCACUUAUAAACACAAAGUCUAUGAAUGUAUUAAAUUUUAUAACAAAAUAAAACUUUCAACAACGGAUCUCUUGGCUCUCGCAUCGAUGAAGAACGCAGCGAAAUGCGAUAAGUAAUGUGAAUUGCAGAAUUCAGUGAAUCAUCGAAUCUUUGAACGCACCUUGCGCUCCAUGGUAUUCCGUGGAGCAUGCCUGUUUGAGUGUCAUGAAUACUUCAACCCUCCUCUUUCUUAAUGAUUGAAGAGGUGUUUGGUUUCUGAGCGCUGCUGGCCUUUACGGUCUAGCUCGUUCGUAAUGCAUUAGCAUCCGCAAUCGAACUUCGGAUUGACUUGGCGUAAUAGACUAUUCGCUGAGGAAUUCUAGUCUUCGGACUAGAGCCGGGUUGGGUUAAAGGAAGCUUCUAAUCAGAAUGUCUACAUUUUAAGAUUAGAUCUCAAAUCAGGUAGGACUACCCGCUGAACUUAAGCAUAUCAAUAAGCGGAGGA
rnacentral:rRNA from 1 species